GGGGAAUGAGGUCCAGCUGGCCCCCUUACCCUGCAGGGAGCCUGGGGUUCCUGGGGAGUGGGAGGAGGGAACCAGGAAAGGGGGUGUUGAGGCAGGGUGGAGGUGGCAUCCGGAUCUAGGCAGGUGCUGUGGGACUGGGCAGAGGGAAUCUAGACUCAGCCAGAAUGCAGCUGAUUUGAGGCUCUUCUCCUGGGAAUUGUGCUCUGAGGGUCCCUGUAUGAGUGGGCUUGGUUCUCCCUUCCUGGGGGUCUGACUCAUCUCAGCUCUCAGGGUUUCCCCCUAGGGACUAAGGUGCAGCAGGAUCAAGGGACCCAUUCCUCCCCACCAGGGUGCCCCGGCCCUCAGGAACCCCUUGGAUCAGCAGAAGAGACAGGUGUUCCAGGUGCAGAGUCAUGUGUGACUUCCUGGUCCUGCUGGGCCUCCAGGUGUGGCUGGAGAAGAUGGAGACCAAGAGAAGAACCCCAGAGAACCCAGUCAAUCUUCUCUCCACAUGAGAGGGCUGAGGUGGGCUUGACCCCUGAGCUCUAUCAUUUCCUCCCUCUAAUAUCUCCUUUGCCUUCUCCUCCACGGUGAGGUGCGGGAACCCCAGAAAGAAGGGCACCAAAGGGAACAAGUGUCCAUGACCUUGACGCCCUGGCCUUUAACCUCAUUCCCUCCUGGUCCCUUCCUGCCUUGGUGUUUCUGACUCUCCUCUCUCCCCCAGGGCUCUCCUGGACCCCCUGGGCUCAUCGGUCUAUGGAACAGCCUGGAGCAGUGGUAAGUGAACCCUUGGGCCCCACCCGAGGCCCUGGCAGCCUCUGCUCUGCCUUCAGUUCCCCUCUGCCCCU
rnacentral:lncRNA from 10 species